UUGGCGUGCACUUCUUCCCUAGUAGAACGUCGUGACCCGUUAGAUGUUGAUCUAUGGCCUAAUUGAUUGUCUCUUUUUGCUUGCAAUUGGAGGUCAUUGGUGUCCCUGAUCAACUGUUUGACGGUAUUCAUAUGGUAUUAAGUCGCUAUUUCAGCGUUAAAUUCAUCACAAGUGCGGUUAAUCUUUGACAGUACAGAUCUAAUUCUGUCGUUAAAAUUAACCAACUGUUAGUUGAUAGUAUUUUUUAACUGAUUUCGAUACCGGUCAACGACGCUACUGCUUUGGGUACUUUCAGGACCCGUCUUGAAACACGGACCAAGGAGUCUAACAUGUACGCAGUCAUUGGGAUUUUUAAAACAAACCUAAAGGCGUAAUGAAAGUAAAGAUUAUCUUACGAUAAUUAAGGGAAGAUAGGUUACAUUACUAUGUAAUCUCGCAUUCCCGGGG
rnacentral:rRNA from 1 species